GACGAACGCUGGCGGCGUGCUUAACACAUGCAAGUCGAACGGAAAGGCCCUGCUUUUGUGGGGUGCUCGAGUGGCGAACGGGUGAGUAACACGUGAGUAACCUGCCCUUGACUUUGGGAUAACUUCAGGCAACUGGGGCUAAUACCGGAUAGGAGCUCCUGCUGCAUGGUGGGGGUUGGAAAGUUUCGGCGGUUGGGGAUGGACUCGCGGCUUAUCAGCUUGUUGGUGGGGUAGUGUCUUACCAAGGCUUUGACGGGUAGCCGGCCUGAGAGGGUGACCGGCCACAUUGGGACUGAGAUACGGCCCAGACUACUACGGGAGGCAGCAGUGGGGAAUAUUGCACAAUGGGAGGAAGCCUGAUGCAGCAACGCCGCGUGCGGGAUGACGGCCUUCGGGUUGUAAACCGCUGUCGCCUGUGACGAAGCGUGAGUGACGGUAAUGGGUAAAGAAGCACCGGCUAACUACGUG
rnacentral:rRNA from 1 species